UGGCGGCAUGCUUAACACAUGCAAGUCGAACCCGAAAGGGUUUCGGCCUGAGUAGAGUGGCGGACGGGUGAGUAAUGCGUGGGAAUCUGCCCUGUAGUGGGGGAUAACCCGGGGAAACUCGGGCUAAUACCGCAUAUAUCCUAUGGGAGAAAGGGGGCCUCUGUUUAACAUGCUCUUGCUACGGGAUGAGCCCACGUCCGAUUAGCUUGUUGGUGGGGUAAAGGCCUACCAAGGCGACGAUCGGUAGCUGGUCUGAGAGGAUGAUCAGCCACACUGGGACUGAGACACGGCCCAGACUCCUACGGGAGGCAGCAGUGGGGAAUAUUGGACAAUGGGCGCACUGAUCCAGCAAUGCCGCGUGUGUGAAGAAGGCCUGCGGGUUGUAAAGCACUUUCGGUGGGGAAGAAGAGCUGAGGGUUAAUACCUCUUAGUUGUGACGUUACCCACAGAAGAAGCACCGGCUAACUCCGUGCCAGCAGCCGCGGUAAUACGGAGGGUGCGAGCGUUAAUCGGAAUGACUGGGCGUAAAGGGCGCGUAGGCGGCUUGAUAAGUCAGAUGUGAAAUCCCUGGGCUUAACCUGGGAAUGGCAUUUGAUACUGUUGGGCUAGAGUGUGGUAGAGGGGGGUGGAAUUCCAGGUGUAGCGGUGUAAUGCGUAGAGAUCUGGAGGAACACCGGUGGCGAAGGCGACCCCUGGGCCAUGACUGACGCUGAGGUUCCAAAACGCUGGGAGCAAACAGGAUUAGAUACCCUGGUAGUCCACGCCGUAAACGAUGUCGACUUACCGUUGGGCUCAUUUAAGGGUUUAGUGGCGCACUAACGCGAUAAGUCGACCCCCUGGGGAGUACGGCCGCAAGGUUAAAACUCAAAGGAAUUGACGGGGGSCCGCACAAGCGGUGGAGCAUGUGGUUUAAUUCGAUGCAACACGAAGAACCUUACCAGCCCUUGACAUCCUCGGAACAUGGAAGAGAUGCCUUGGUGCCUUCGGGAGCCAGAGUGACAGGUGCUGCAUGGCUGACGUCAGCUCGUGUCGUGAGAUGUUGGGUUAAGUCCCGCAACGAGCGCAACCCUUGUCCUUAGUUGCGAGCGNNNNGNGUCGGGCACUCUAAGGAGACUUCCGGUUAUAAACCGGAGGAAGGUGGGGAUUACGUCAAGUCAUCAUGGCCCUUAUGGGCUGGGCUACACACGUGCUACAAUGGUCGGUACAAAGGGUUGCGAGCCCGCGAGGGGGAGCCAAUCCCAGAAAACCGGUCGUAGUCCGGAUUGCAGUCUGCAACUCGACUGCAUGAAGUCGGAAUCGCUAGUAAUCGCGAAUCAGCAUGYYGCGGUGAAUACGUUCCCGGGCCUUGUACACACCGCCCGUCACACCAUGGGAGUUGGUUGCACCAGAAGUCGGUAGCUUAACCUUCGGGGGGGCGCUGACCACGGUGUGCAAWUGUACUGGGGUGAUGUCGUAACAAG
rnacentral:rRNA from 1 species